UGGGGAAUAUUGCACAAUGGGGGAAACCCUGAUGCAGCGACCCCGCGUGGAGGAAGAAGGUCUUCGGGUUGUAAACUCCUGUUGUUGAGGAAGAUAAUGACGGUACUCAACAAGGAAGUGACGGCUAACUACGUGCCAGCAGCCGCGGUAAAACGUAGGUCACAAGCGUUGUCCGGAAUUACUGGGUGUAAAGGGAGCGCAGGCGGGAAGACAAGUUGGAAGUGAAAUCUAUGGGCUCAACCCAUAAACUGCUUUCAAAACUGUUUUUCUUGAGUAGUGCAGAGGUAGGCGGAAUUCCCGGUGUAGCGGUGGAAUGCGUAGAUAUCGGGAGGAACACCAGUGGCGAAGGCGGCCUACUGGGCACCAACUGACGCUGAGGCUCGAAAGUGUGGGUAGCAAACAGGAUUAGACACCCUGGUAGUCCACACCGUAAACGAUGAUUACUAGGUGUUGGAGGAUUGACCCCUUCAGUGCCGCAGUUAACACAAUAAGUAAUCCACCUGGGGAGUACGACCGCAAGGUUGAAACUCAAAGGAAUUGACGGGGGCCCGCACAAGCAGUGGAGUAUGUGGUUUAAUUCGACGCAACGCGAAGAACCUUACCAAGUCUUGACAUCCUGCGACGAUGCUAGAAAUAGUAUUUUCCUUCGGGACGCAGAGACAGGUGGUGCAUGGUUGUCGUCAGCUCGUGUCGUGAGAUGUUGGGUUAAGUCCCGCAACGAGCGCAACCCUUAUGGUCAGUUACUACGCAAGAGGACUCUGGCCAGACUGCCGUUGACAAAACGGAGGAAGGUGGGGAUGACGUCAAAUCAUCAUGCCCUUUAUGACUUGGGCUACACACGUACUACAAUGGCGUUAAACAAAGAGAAGCAAGACCGCGAGGUGGAGCAAAACUCAGAAACAACGUCCCAGUUCGGACUGCAGGCUGCAACUCGCCUGCACGAAGUCGGAAUUGCUAGUAAUCGUGGAUCAGCAUGCCACGGUGAAUACGUUCCC
rnacentral:rRNA from 1 species